ACAUUAAGGAUUGACAGAUUGAGAGCUCUUUCUUGAUCAUGUGGGUGGUGGUGCAUGGCCGUUCUUAGUUGGUGGAGUGAUUUGUCUGCUUAAUUGCGAUAAUGAACGAGACCUUAACCUGCUAAAUAGCCAGGCCCGCUUUUGCGGGUCGCCGGCUUCUUAGAGGGACUAUCGGAUUUCAAGACGAUGGAAGUUUGAGGCAAUAACAGGUCUGUGAUGCCCUUAGAUGUUCUGGGCCGCACGCGCGCUACACUGACAGAGCCAACGAGUACAUCACCUUGGCCGGAAGGUCUGGGUAAUCUUGUUAAACUCUGUCGUGCUGGGGAUAGAGCAUUGCAAUAAUAGAAUGGGUUAGCAUGGAAUAAUGGAAUA
rnacentral:rRNA from 1 species